AAAAGACUGUCAGUUCCUAUGGCAAAGAGCCUGAUUCAGGAAAGAAGGUAAGAGCGGACCGCUUGCUUCACCAAUUUCUGCAAGUUAAACACUACCGGUGUUGGAACAGAAGAGGAGACGUUAUGAUUGUUUUAUUACUGACUGCUAAUUUACAUCCAGAAAAAGGCAUUAUGGUGCCCUCUGAAUCAAACCUUGUAACCCAGCAAUGCAGAAAGACUACGUGGCCGGAUGCAGCUACUAAGGGGGAACGUGACCCAAAACAAGCACCAUUGCAGCCUCUCCGCAGGACAAUGGGCUAUAAAAAAGAAGGUGUUCCUAAGGCCAGAGCCCAGGUUUAUCAGAUGGGACCGUGAGCUGGUUUCUGGACUGACGCACCGAGGGCCCUCGUCCACCGCUGCUCAGGAAAAUUCCCCACCUAAUCGGGUGGGCAAAGCGAGGCUGUAAGGCUGCUAGUUAAAGUUACAGCACGCCGUUGGUUUUGCUACACGCUUUUACCUGGAAGGCUUAUAAAAUUGCCUCAGAGAAUUCACACCAAGUCAGCCCUUUGGCAAGUCACUUAACCCCUAAAUCUAUUUUUCCAUCUGAAACCAAUAACACCGUGGUGAUAAGGAUUCUAUGAGAAAGGUGGUGUCCACACCGACCAUGGGGAGGUCUCUGGAGAGUGCCGGGGAGAAGCUUCCUGAAGCUCUUUUCUCAGUGUAUCCUCCAAAGUCUUCUUCCCAAGCGCGUAUACGGGGUGAAUGGCACAACGCACAUGGAGAAAGGGAGGGCCAAUACACACAGCGUGGGGACUCUCUCCAGUCCUGCUGGAAGACCAGAGGCGUCCCGGCGGGUCGCUGGACGGUGCUUCCUGGCACGGUGCUCGCAUGGCUGGCCCGGCUAGCCUCUGCGCGGGGAGAGGCGACGGCGGGCGUGCCGAGCCCAUCCCCGUGGGCACCGGGGAAUCCAUCACAUCGCUCGACGUCUCCACGGCGUCCGGCUCUCCAGCGGCCUCACCGGAGCCACCCCAGAAGCCCUGCGUUUCCCUGCACAAGAGAAAAACCUCUUUAGCAACGCGGGCAGGAGCGCAGCUGCGAGGGGCCGCGCCAAGCGCGGGCUCUGCCCCCCGAGAGGCACAGAGCCGCGCUGGUGCCCUGCGCCAGCCCCGGGGUGGUUCGGCGACCGGGCACGCCAGGAGCUGCGCCGCCGUCCCGCCAGCCGAGCCGUUACCCGCCGUGGCACGCUGAAGGCGUUCACAUUCCUGUAGGAAUUUAGACGAUAUUAUUUACCUACCCGAUCAUACUUGAGCGCUAAGUGUACUUUUAUGGGUAUCUGCUCUGUAUUUGGCACUCCUAGCUGGAGUUUUGGCCAAAUUCUGCCCCUAAGUAGAUUCAUUGCUGUCAUUUGGAUUUGUAGUGGCAGAAUUUGCCCAUUAUUGUGUUAUUUUAAUUCCCUCAAGAAUCUAAUGAAAAUUAAGUGAAAAAAUAAGGCUUUCUGUAUUCUAUUUUCAGAAUGAUGGAUUGAUAGAAGGACAGGCGACUUAUACUUGCAGGCUGAAGAUUUUAUGCAUAUAUACAUAACAGAUAUGGAGACAGAAUUUUUCCCUUAUGGCAAUGGAAUGGUUUUGAUAGUCUUCAUUAAAAUAGAUUUGAAAAUA